UACAGAGGUCUCAAGCGUUGUUCGGAUUCAUUGGGCGUAAAGGGUGCGUAGGCGGGUCUUUAAGUCAGGGGGGAAAUCCUGGAGCUCAACUCCAGAACUGCCUUUGAUACUGAAGAUCUUGAGUUCGGGAGAGGUGAGUGGAACUGCGAGUGUAGAGGUGAAAUUCGUAGAUAUUCGCAAGAACACCAGUGGCGAAGGCGGCUCACUGGCCCGAUACUGACGCUGAGGCACGAAAGCGUGGGGAGCAAACAGG
rnacentral:rRNA from 1 species